rnacentral:rRNA from 1 species
UACGGAGGGAGCUAGCGUUGUUCGGAAUUACUGGGCGUAAAGCGCACGUAGGCGGCUAUUCAAGUCGGGGGUGAAAGCCCGGGGCUCAACCCCGGAACAGCCCUCGAAACUAGAUAGCUAGAAUCUUGGAGAGGCGAGUGGAAUUCCGAGUGUAGAGGUGAAAUUCGUAGAUAUUCGGAAGAACACCAGUGGCGAAGGCGACUCGCUGGACAAGUAUUGACGCUGAGGUGCGAAAGCUAGGGGAGCAAACGGG